GGCGUGGUGACAGAUUGGCUAUGUGACGGACUGCAAAUCCGUUCAGGUUGGUUCGAUUCCAGCACACGCCUCCA
rnacentral:tRNA from 18 species